ensembl:lncRNA
AAAGAAUGAUCAGGCCUGGGGGAUGAAAGAAAAAGAACAGUUCAAGUCUCCUCUACCAAGGGAAAGUAAUCAUCAGACUUCUGUGACCCGAACUGGAGGAGAAAUCAACAGGCAGUAAACUGAAGACGUUUCUAAAUUUCCUUCUUUUGGACUUCAAAAUACUUCAGACUCAGAUAUGGCUAAAGAAUAACCUGUGGAAUCAGAUAUACCUGGAUUUGAAUUUGGGCGUGUUUCUUCGUUGUUCCUCCUGGAGUCAGCUUUUCUUUAACGUGACCUCCUGGUACGGGAAUUGUUGGAACAGUAAAAAGCACCUCAC